GAAAACAAUAUGAAACAAUAUCAAAGGAACACACAUUUGCAUAUCACUGGUCAGUUGUUCUAAUAUUUUCUUUCUUUUCGUUUCCACAUCAUUGAGGAAAAAAGAAAUCAAUAUUUAUUUAUAAGUCUAAAACGAUUAGAAAGCAUUAUGAGAACUAUUAGAAACCUAGGGAAGAAAAAUGAGAAAAUGAGAGAAAUUAUUGAGAAAGAUGAAAAUGAAAGAGCAUUUAAGUGAAUAUAUGUGUAUUUUACAGAAGUGUUAUGUCAUAAAGACAUGUAAUACACAGACACCACUACAUUGUUUACAUUAUUCUGAACCCUGUGAUGCAAUAUGACCAGGAUCGCUGGAAAUGUGUGGUGUGGUUGAACUAUUGGGCUUGAAUUGGUUCGUAGGAUCACAAGCUUUGGGUCAUUCAUUAUGCAAUGGUCCUUCCAGAAACAGGUCGGGUAUUUUGAAAAAACCCGUGUUAGGUAAACACUUUGCUAAAACGCAGACUCUAAAGUGAAAAGAGAUUAAAAAACCCUAAAUUUGUCUCACUCUCGUUUGCGCGCUUGGUUUGCCACCUUUCUCUCCCUUCUCCUUUUUUUCACAUGGCCCUUACUUCUUUUGUUUAUGGCUUUAUCGUGUACUACGUCUACUUUUUUGUUUUAUUCUGCCUUUCCCUGUCUGAACUAUGUAGUGUAACCUGCAAUGGCUUCGAGUGGGUCUUAGGCCUUAUGAAUUAUGUCUUGAGUUACUUAUUAAGUACUUCUGGUAAGGUAUGAACAUAGUUUUGAGUUAUUUAAGAACUCAUGGGUUGAUGGUUAUGAAUUUUUAAUUAACUCAGUUUAAUGUCGUGAUUUAGAGUUUAUUUUAGUCAUUUAUGAUAGUUUUUAUGCUUGUGUAUUUAAGUACCAUUUUCUCUUUCGCUAGGAUCUUACUAGACAUGUUAAGAUCCUCACAUAUUCGCCUACUUACUAUUUAUCUCUAAUUGUUACAGCUACUAAAUUCUCUAUUAUUAUUAUCCCCCUUUGCUUAAGGAGAUAAUUAAGUUGUAAUCUCUCUAUUUAAACUAGUUCGUAUUUAGGAAUAAAUCAUCA
rnacentral:lncRNA from 1 species